rnacentral:misc_RNA from 1 species
GCAAACUUGGUCAUUUAGAGGAAGUAAAAGUCGUAACAAGGUUUCCGUAGGUGAGUCAACGCGAGAUCCGAAUUCCUUUCGAAAUCAAGAUACUAACUCGAAUUCAGGUGAACCUGCGGAAGGAUCAUUACCGAGAGAUGCGCCCUCGUGGCGCUCCCUCCCACCCGUGUCAACCAUACCUUUGUUGCUUUGGCGGGUCGUGCCUUGCACCGUCGGUCCCCCGGGAUGGGCGUGCGCCCGCCAGAGGCCCCUUUCCAACUCGUUAAAUCAUUGCCGUCUGAUCAAGCAAGAUAAUCGCGAAAAACUUUCCACAACGGAUCUCUUGGUUCUGGCAUCGAUGAAGAACGCAGC